GCCUGGCCUUGCAUUUCUUUCUUUCUUUUUCUUUUUUUUUUUUAACAACUAUUGCCAAUCCUCUUUUUUUAUCCUUCUUCUUUUCCCCAGAGUCCCCAGUACAUCAUUGUAUAUUCUAGUUGUGGGUCCUUCUAGUUGUUGCAUGUGGGAUGCUGCCUCAGCAUGGCCUGAUGAGCGGUGCCAUGUCGGCGCCGAGGAUCCGAAGAGGCAAAACCCUGGGCCACCAAAGCGGAGCACGUGAGCUUAACCACUCGGGCAUGGGGCUGGCCCCUGGUCUUGCAUUUCUGAACUUAAGUGAAAGUAAGCCUAGAACAUGUUUUAUGGUAUACAGAAUUAGAACCUAUGUCCCAGUAUACCUAAUUCUGACAAAUACCUUCAUUAAAGGAUGUGAGUCACCACUAUAGAACUCUAUUAUUCUAGAGAAAUUGUUGAAGUUGAAAAAAGCCACUUACGUUUCUGAACAUUAACAUGAAGAUAUCCUUUGAAGCUUUGAUUUGAUUAAUAGAAUUUUAUUACCGGAGAGCGUUCAAAGUAGUGCAAAUGUCCUCACUAGAGAUAUUGGCAUAACACUUUAUAAGAAAAUCAUGCUCCUUCAAGUCAACACAUAGUUAAUUCACAUUUGGAGAUGAGGCUACCGUGACAACAUGACAAUUUGAUGAGGUUUAAACAGCUUCAGAAGGGGGAUUAUUAAAAGGGAGAGAAAAGAAAUGCUUUGUGAUAGAAAAAUAGAAUACCAGAUUAUCUGGACAAUUUUUAACAGUCAUUUGCAAGGACUUAUUGUCACUCUUUUAUCACAGUUUUCUUUCUUUCUUUCUUUCAUUUCUAUUGCUACAGUGUGGGAUUAUUUGUUCUAUGAUGAAAAUGAAUUUCUGUAUAAGAUUCAAGAGGCAUACUUAAAUCCAUCAAGCAUGGCUUCUGUUAAAAUCUCCUGGCAGUUCUCAAUGGCACUUUUAAAUUCCUUGGAAUUUGAUUGUAUCUGCCUCAUCUUUAUAUUAAUCACAUGGCUAGUGUGCAAGGACAAAAGUUUAUAGCUUGAAUUUUCUGGCCCACAAAGUCUCAGGGAGGUUGUAUCUCAGGUCCUGGAGGGGAAGACCUAACGGAGCAUGGCAAAUGAGAUGUGGGCCAGUGUGGGUAACGGUACAAUGUCAGACAAAGCAUUGGAAAAUGUAGGGCCCCAGAUUCUGCCAAACCAGUAGAAUGAUUUUGGGCAAGCCACUUAACCUCUGCAUAUCAUUUCUCUCAUCUGUAAAAUGAGAUGAUUGGUUUAAUGAUCUCUAAGCUCUUUCCCUGGACCCAAAUUCCUUAAUAUUGAUGUGGCAUGUUUUACAUCUUUUAGGAUUCCUAUGAAUGAGUGUUUAAAUGCAGAAAGUGUGUAGGUAAGGUAGCCUGUAUUCUCUUAGGGAAACCAAAAAAUCAUGUCCAGUGUUAAGAGCAAUGCCAGGACAAGUACACUGUACGUAGGAGUCCAUUUGGGUAGUUUAAGGUUGCUUUUGUUAUAUCCAGUCAUGAAAAGGUAUUGGGAAGCUGAGUCUCAUUUAAAAUGUCUCUGCAGGGACUAUCUCUGUAAGUAAUAAAGCCUUCAAGAAAAAUGAAACAAUAAAAUCCCUAAAGACAUGAAGUGGCUCAUAUAUGUUUUUAUUUGUUUAUUUGUUUUUCAGACAAUGCAGAAAAAUAGUAUACUUUUUUAGUAAGGAUACUUAACUUGGUUGGGUAGGAUAUGGGGUGGUAAUUCAUGUCAUAGCCACAGCCCCAUCUCAAAAAUAGGGGAAAAUUAAUUUUUAAAAAAUUUCUGUUAAAUUUUGAAGGUUUAAUGUUUACUUUUUAGUAUUGUAUAAAGGAACAUAAUUCAGCAGAGUGGUUAGAAGCAAAGACUUUAGAGUCAGACAGAACUGGAUUUGAAUCCCAGCUCCAUGACUUACCUCCUGGGUGUCCUUGGGGAAAUGAAAUAAUCUCUCUGAGCUCAGUUACCUCAUCUAUAAAGAGAGAGCAUAUUGGUGGUGGAAAUCUUCCAUUUUGCCUGCCUGGCAUUUUUUCACCUUCUUUUGGAAGCCUUCUUUCCUUAGGAGAACUUAUUCCAUGUGGUUAAAUCAUUUCGAAUUGUCUCUGGACAUCCAUGUCAAAACUUUAAAGUGGUAAGGAAUAGACUAGGAUGAAACUCACAGGCUUGCCAGAACCAUGACAGAGCAUUCCACAUUCGAUGCUAAUACAUUGUAAAGUAUGUGCUAAUGAAUUACAGAUAGUGUCACACAGUCUUUGCACGCUGUCAUAUUAAUUCAAGAUUUCAGAAUUUCAAAAGGCAUUUUCAAUAUGAUUCAAGUGUAUAAAUAUUAAGGAGGCAUUAACCUUUAUCAAAAUGAUUUUUUCUUGUGUUAAAAAGAUCAAAAUUUAACAUAACGGGGCAUACAAUUUGACUUUGCUGUAAAGCAGUUGAUGAGAAGAACAGUAUCUGCCCCAAAAUUAUUCAUGUAAAAACUGUGAAACCUUUCAUUUACACUUCUUGGGAAUGGCAGGAGUGGGGAUGGGAGUUGGAGGAGAAAGAGGAAUAUUGCAAGGGAUGAGAAAAGCGUAAAUUGAAGGAUGUCGGUUCUUUAAUUAACAUGCUGCUUGUCAUCUUUUAGCACAGAGAAUAACAAAACCCUGCAGGCACUAAAUAAAAUGAACCUUAGGGAGGUUUAUCAUCCUAGACAACAUACAGAGUUUGUGUCAAUUUGGAGUCACUGAUGCAAAAAUUCAAACACUUUGUUUUCUAGCCGCACGGCAUCAACAAGAACGUUUUCAAGGUCAAAUGAAUAUCUUGAUAAGUCAGAAUGUGGGAUUUCCUGAACUGGCCUCCUUGAGGCUGAUCAGGGCCCUUGGUGAAGCAAAUUGGAUUCAGGCCAAGUCCUCAGACCAGUGAUAUGCUUACACAACUAUCAAUUCCCUUUUUUAAAAAAGCACUUUGUCUCUAGCAGCAUUUUCAACUGGAGUCAAUCAGUUCCAGCCUCAGGAGAGCCCAGACUAGAAGAAAAUAAAACAGUAACGGUACUUAUUUUUGUCUUACCUUGUCAGAGUCUUCAAUUCUGGGGGCAAAUGUUUUGGGCAGCUUUAUGACCCCUGCAUCAUCCUCCACACCAUUAGGGCAGCAAUCACGUUGAACUUGCUCACUGCCAUGUCCCCAUUUUCUGGCCCAGUGCCUGGCACGUCGCAAGUACUCAAUAAAUGUUUGUCGAACAAAAAGUAGAUGUCAAGGGUCCCGUGAAUAAAACUACUUCUUCAAAUUAACUUGGGAAACAUCCCAGGGAGUAUUAAGCAGUAAUUAAAAUCUUGCAUUAUGACCUAUGUUCCAGAAACUUCUUAAGGGACUUGUGAAUUUCUAAUAUGCUAAGCUCUCAUUUUGUAAAGAAUCUCUUUUUGUGCUUCUGGACUUAUAGGCAAACAAGUAAUUGAGAUAUUUAUCAAUUCCUCGACUGUAGGAAAUAAGUCCAAAUUCUAGGAGCUUCCUAUGUUAAAACAAAGAAGAUGUACUCUGUGAGGGAAUAAGAUAAAUUGUGGGACAUUUUAAAUUGUGAUGACAUAAAUAAUUCUAAUGGUACAUCACCCAUGGAAGAAUAAUACAUUUUAUCCAACAUUUUCAUCUUUUCCAUUUGGAAGGGAAGGGAAUUCCUUUCAUGAAAACCUACACAGCAGCCAUUAAAAGGUACCAUUAGUGUGCAUUGGGGGACCUCUGUUCCCCAGCAUACUGGGCAACAUCUCAGUUUGGGCAUCUUGGGUUGAACUGUGAUUAGAGUUCCCAUGGAUUUAUUUGGGAGAGAAGGGGAAAAGCAAGUGAUAAUUUCACCUCUAAAAAGAAAACUGUGGGACAUCUAGGCUGAAUUUAUUCUCCCCAUUCUCUGUCCUCGAGUACUGCCAAUACUAAUCAAAUCGGUUG
rnacentral:lncRNA from 1 species